GAUUAUAUAGCCAAAGGGAAUAAGCCGCCCUAAAAUCAUCCCAAGUGCUGCUAAUGUGGCUACUAAGUGGAAAAUCCCAUGGAUAAUUGCUGACAUGGUGACAGAAAUUAAGACAUGCUUGCAAGACAAACAAUACAUUAUCCAGCACAUUCUAUGGGAAGGAAACACGCAAGCAGAUCAUUUGGCAAACAGAGCUAUUGACAAGGGAAAUUGCUCAUACACAGAGUUUAACAGUCUAGAAAUAGAGGGGAGGAGGAUUAUAAACAGCGACAAAUUACUAUGUCCAUAUUUAACAGUAUCACCAACAAAGGGAUAAGGGGCCUGGACAGGCUACAACACAAAUUUUCACAAGCAACAUCUCCCAGCAGACAAGAUCCAACAAAGAACAUCGAGCAUGACUCAUAGAACUUGAGAACACCGCUGAGAAAGAACAGGGAAGUCAGCAGCAAUAAAAAAUCCAAAACAAGAAACUAUACUACUUACUCUAGUUAGCUGACAUACUAGCAUCCAUGACCAACAUCACCAUAAUAUUGAUAACCCACAACAAAAGAAGGCGGAGACAUGGAUUAGUCCAAGGAGGUAGCAGGUCUCAAGUGAAGAAGAGAUGGCGAGGUAAAGGAGGAGACUGGAGAAGGCGGCGAGGGGAAAUGAGGAGGCCUUAAUUAGGAAACCCUGCCUUAGUUAGAUUUAUAGGCC
rnacentral:lncRNA from 1 species